rnacentral:rRNA from 1 species
GAUGAACGCUGGCGGCGUGCCUAAUACAUGCAAGUCGAGCGAACGGACGAGAAGCUUGCUUCUCUUCAGUUAGCGGCGGACGGGUGAGUAACACGUGGAUACCCUACCUAUAAGACUGGGAUAACUUCGGGAAACCGGAGCUAAUACCGGAUAAUAUUUUGAACCGCAUGGUUCAUAAGAGAAAGACGGUCUUGCUGUCACUUAUAGAUGGAUCCGCGCUGCAUUAGCUAGUUGGUAAGGUAACGGCUUACCAAGGCAACGAUGCAUAGCCGACCUGAGAGGAUGAUCGGCCACACUGGAACUGAGACACGGUCCAGACUCCUACGGGAGGCAGCAGUAGGGAAUCUUCCGCAAUGGGCGAAAGCCUGACGGAGCAACGCCGCGUGAGUGAUGAAGGUCUUCGGAUCGUAAAGCUCUGUUAUUAGGGAAGAACAUAUGUGUAAGUAACUGUGCACAUCUUGACGGUACCUAAUCAGAAAGCCACGGCUAACUACGUG